AUGAAUGGGGGAAAACUAGAAUUUUUCUUUUGCCAAGUUACAACAGCAGUAGAGGAGCUUCCAAAUUAUACAGACAGAUGGAACCAACCAAUGGCUAGUUUUAUCCAAAACAUCAUAGAUAUAAGAUGGACUUUAUUUACCAUAUAUACUAAUAGACCUUGCUUCCAAGUAACUGGAGGAGAUAUGCACGAAAACAUCGUGUGCACUCUAUAA